AAGUGCAUCAGAGGACUAUAAUAACUUAAGAGGGGCAUGUCACCUAAAAGCAUUUAUUCAUUAAAGCCCCUGUUUGUCAUCUUUUCAUAAAGGAGCAAAAAUUAUUAGUCAAAAUAUAACUGUGCAUCUUUGUAGGAAGGGACAAAAUAGAACAUAAAAACAUCUAAACAAGAUCUAUCAAAUAAAAAGGAGGUUUAUCACCUAAACACAUCUUAUCAAAUAAUCAUAUCGGAAGAAGACUCUAAAUUGUAUCGAAUGGCCAUUAAUUUUAAAGUCGGUAACGUGUGUCCUUUUUCCAAAGAGUGUUUUUCCACUGGGAGAUCCGAUUUUUGAUCUCUAUAUUUUGAUAAUGUGUACAGAGACGUUUUUGCUGGAUGAGGCUGAAGCCGUGCUGAUCCUAAAAGAGUGCCCUGAGAUGGACAUUGGGUCAUGACCUAGUCUGACGGCCAUGGCCCUUACGUAGUGUACAAAUUUCGCAGUGGUCAGGGGUUUGUCGGAAAUUGUGAGUAAGGGUGAGUAGCUUUGUUGAUCAGUGAGGGAGAGGCAAAAGGUAUCCAGGACUGACACUGGACACCGUUUAUUAUGGGUCAGAAAGUACAAGACCUGUGUCAGGGGGCCCAACUGAAUUUGUCUUAGAAUGACUUAGUUGUAGUACAUAGUGGUCCCCUUGUUUAUGUAGAUCCCUUAUUCUGAUGUAACUUGGGUUACCGGAUAGUCUACUCACUGUGAAUUCAUUGGGUCUUAGGAACCCGUAAAAUGCAAUGUUCAUUGCUGCUUUGAGUAUGCCAUUAGUUCUGGGUUCGAAUGGGUUGGAAUCCAACAAAUCUGAUAGAGCCUUGAAUUUUUCCCCGUCAAUUGGUUGCCUUUUAGCUGUCGGAAGGGACGUCCGUGCGAAGUAUGCCUUUUAGGACGUUUUUCAGGUGAUAGGAUGACAUAAAUGGUUUGUGAAAUGGGAAUAAGGUGAUUAGGUGAUGUUGUACACCUGUGAGGUAGAGCUUAAUGGUGUUAUGUGCCAGCUUAAGGUGUAAGUGGCAGUGAGCGGUUAAGGCAAAGGUGUCGAUAGAAAAGGUGUUGGUGAUGUGGUGUUCGGACGUGAACCUGGAGAAUAUGGUAAGUGCUCUGUUGUAGGACUUUCUGGUGUUGUCUGACAGAGCGGAUUUCGCCAGGGUUAGGGAGUGUUGUUUUAGCAACUUUAGUCCAAUAUCAGGUCCUGGAAUGUUGGGGUCACCCAACUGCUGUGGGGUGUUGUUUGAAAAAGGCCUGAAAGUCGGAGCGAGAGAGAGCAACAGCUGUGAUGUUUUCCCGACCAGUACGUGCAUGCAAACCAAAUGAAAGUUGUGUGUUGCUGCUAGCCAUGUGAGUCUCCUCAUGAGUCUCAUGAUGACUAGUGAUCUGCCUUUGUUUAUGAUCUCACAUGUGGCUUCGUUAUCGGAGAGGCAUUUGACUGCUUUGCCCUCCCAUAACGAACCCCAAGUGUGUGAUGCUGCUACUAUUGUAUAGAGUUGGAAUAGCGUGGAUGUGGUAUUAAAGACCUGUAAAGUUAAGGUUUCUGAGGGCCAUGAGUCACAGAACCACUGGUUUUGGUAUACAGCCGCUAAUCCUGUGUGGGCUUCUGCGUCAGUCCAUAUGACUGGAGAUUCCUCGUCAAGUGGGGGUAUGAACAUUGAUCUCCCAUUCCAGGAGGAGAGAAAUCCCCACAUUAGUAAGUCUGCUUUGGCGUUAUUGUCGCUGAGAAUGGAAGUAUUGUCAUGAGGGGCUUCCGUUAGGAGGUGUAGUAAGUGUGAAAUGAACGCGCAGCCCUGUGGUAUGAUGCGGAUCGCGAAAUUCAGGAAGCCCAGGAGAGACUGCAGCUCUUUGCUGGAGAAAUUGUUUUUGUGCAGGAACCCUGUGAUUUUGUUUGUGAUGCGGUUAACAUUUCUUGGAACACAAACAUCCUUUGGCUUCUCUUAAAUGUGUGGCAAUUGACCAUAUUCCCAUCUCCAGGCGAGGUGGUGAUAGAGCUGUUCGAUUACUUCAAAGAGAUACUGUAACGGAAUGCUGGCACUCCGCCAAUCGAUGCUCCCAGUGCUUGCCGAGGACUCAAAGCACUCCACGUGACACCAUAAGCACUGCAGACCCCACUUCCAGCGAUGCAGCUGUGCCGUGGUCUCGCUGUCCUCCACCCACCCUGGACCCAAGACCAGGAUCCAACUCCCAGUUCUCAUCUAAUACAGAGAGCGUAGCAGGAACAAGAACAGCUCUUACAAGAGCUUACUCUGGGGAGUAUAGUGUGAUUAUAGCAAUCCCCAGAGUGUAGUUAUUCCAUCCCCCAAGCAUGAGCCAAAGCUUCAAGAAAGGGUCAAGCAGGUCUGUUAAAUCAGCACCAAAGGGCUUUCUUUUAUACAAGUUUUCAGGCCAGAGGCACACCCCCUGGACCUGGUGUUAAACUGUGACAAAAGGGACACAAACCAAUGGAAACACUAAUUAACAAAAUAACACUCCCACAUACACCGUAAAAUCCCUCCCUUCUAUCCUGGAGAUAAUUGGCUUAAGGUACUGCUGUAAACUCAAUUAUCUCCAGGUACAGAAAAUAUCUACAUUUUACACUAACAGUAAAAAUACAAAAUUCCUAUUAUAUUACACAGAAUCUGAGCGCCCAAUAUAGGUGAACAGCACUCAGAUCCCAUGAACAGAGUUAAUUUGCCAUGGGGUUAAAGUUUUGCAAGGGCUGAUGAGAGAUUGAGGAGGGACAAAGUAGCCAGUUUAAACUGGUCUGGCAGUGUCCCUGGGACAACGCCCUGCUGGAGAACAAUGGGACAGGAAAGGGGGAGGGGAAGAUGCACAUUCUCCCAUGGAAUCAAAGGGGCAGAAAAAGUGUUUCAAAAUCCAAUAAGCCCAAAUAAUGUUUUUAACUGGCAAAGUCUCCCAGGUACCAUAGUCACAUGGCAGGAGGCUGGCAAUAAGUCCUUUCCAGGCACAAGUGGCAAAAGGCACUUCGUCACACAUCUUCCCUUUUAGGGGGAGUCUAACCAGGUACCUGACCUUCUGUCAGUCAGUGCCUGAGUUAGUCGAGCAACCCACCCACAAAUAAAAAUUAGCAAUAAAUGGUACUGGCCUGUAGAUACCAGGUUGUAGCGUGAAGAUUCAUCAUCCUCGGUCUUCUUGGUGCAGCUAGGCAAACAGCUGGGGGUACUUGAGGGGCAGAGGCCAGCGGCUCUCCGCCCUGAUGCCAGCUCUUCCGCUGGGGUAGCCUGCAGGAAGUCAGGCUCUGGACAAGGGGAAAAGGGAGGGCAGAGGCUAACAGUGCUCUGCCCUGAUGCCAGCUCUUCUGCUGCAAGGGGGUCAUUGGGUAUCGCAGGCUCAUCCACUGCCCCCAGGACCCGGUUGGGAUGUAGCUGGGGAGGGGAAGGCUUGUGAGGCAACAAAACCCGAAAAAUGCCAAGGGGGGUGAAUACUUUUGCAAGGCACUGUAUUUAAACUAGGGAGGGGCAAAAGGGUGAUAAAACGUUAAUCCAAUUGCCCCCCAAAACAAGGAUAAAAGGUACCUGUAGCAAGUGUGUUAAAAAAAUGAUAAGCUUAGAGUCCUGUCUACAAAUGCUCGCAGUUUAGAGAAUAAGAUCCAUGAACUUGUGGCAAUAAUGGCAACUGAUAAUGUAGAUUUAGUUUCGGUUACUGAGACAUGGUAUAAUGAGAAAAAUGACUGGGACAUAGCAGUACUCUUUAUAUAGUAAAGACAGGGAAGGCAAGAAAGUGGGAGGGGUGGCCUUGUACAGGAAGUGCAGAAUUAUUAGGCAAGUUGUAUUUUUGAGGAUUAAUUUUAUUAUUGAACAACAACCAUGUUCUCAAUGAACCCAAAAAACUCAUUAAUAUCAAAGCUGAAUAUUUUUGGAAGUAGUUUUUAGUUUGUUUUUAGUUAUAGCUAUGUUAGGGGGAUAUCUGUGUGUGCAGGUGACUAUUACUGUGCAUAAUUAUUAGGCAACUUAACAAAAAACAAAUAUAUACCCAUUUCAAUUAUUUAUUAUUACCAGUGAAACCAAUAUAACAUCUCAACAUUCACAAAUAUACAUUUCUGACAUUCAAAAACAAAACAAAAACAAAUCAGUGACCAAUAUAGCCACCUUUCUUUGCAAGGACACUCAAAAGCCUGCCAUCCAUGGAUUCUGUCAGUGUUUUGAUCUGUUCACCAUCAACAUUGCGUGCAGCAGCAACCACAACCUCCCAGACACUGUUCAGAGAGGUGUACUGUUUUCCCUCCUUGUAAAUCUCACAUUUGAUGAUGGACCACAGGUUCUCAAUGGGGUUCAGAUCAGGUGAACAAGGAGGCCAUGUCAUUAGAUUUUCUUCUUUUAUACCCUUUCUUGCCAGCCACGCUGUGGAGUACUUGGACGCGUGUGAUGGAGCAUUGUCCUGCAUGAAAAUCAUGUUUUCUUGAAGGAUGCAGACUUCUUCCUGUACCACUGCUUGAAGAAGGUGUCUUCCAGGAACUGGCAGUAGGACUGGGAGUUGAGCUUGACUCCAUCCUCAACCUGAAAAGGCCCCACAAGCUCAUCUUUGAUGAUACCAGCCCAAACCAGUACUCCACCUCCACCUUGCUGGCGUCUGAGUCGGACUGGAGCUCUCUGCCCUUUACCAAUCCAGCCACGGGCCCAUCCAUCUGGCCCAUCAAGACUCACUCUCAUUUCAUCAGUCCAUAAAACCUUAGAAAAAUCAGUCUUGAGAUAUUUCUUGGCCCAGUCUUGACGUUUCAGCUUGUGUGUCUUGUUCAGUGGUGGUCGUCUUUCAGCCUUUCUUACCUUGGCCAUGUCUCUGAGUAUUGCACACCUUGUGCUUUUGGGCACUCCAGUGAUGUUGCAGCUCUGAAAUAUGGCCAAACUGGUGGCAAGUGGCAUCGUGGCAGCUGCACGCUUGACUUUUCUCAGUUCAUGGGCAGUUAUUUUGCGCCUUGGUUUUUCCACACGCUUCUUGCGACCCUGUUGACUAUUUUGAAUGAAACGCUUGAUUGUUCGAUGAUCACGCUUCAGAAGCUUUGCAAUUUUAAGAGUGCUGCAUCCCUCUGCAAGAUAUCUCACUAUUUUUGACUUUUCUGAGCCUGUCAAGUCCUUCUUUUGACCCAUUUUGCCAAAGGAAAGGAAGUUGCCUAAUAAUUAUACACACCUGAUAUAGGGUGUUGAUGUCAUUAGACCACACCCCUUCUCAUUACAGAGAUGCACAUCACCUAAUAUGCUUAAUUGGUAGUAGGCUUUCGAACCUAUACAGCUUGGAGUAAGACAACAUGCAUAAAGAGGAUGAUGUGGUCAAAAUACUCAUUUGCCUAAUAAUUCUGCACUCCCUGUAUGUGAAGGAUAACAUAAAACCUAGCCUAAUAAAAGUUAGCGAGGAGAACGUAGUCAGUUUGGGUUACAUUAGAAUUUGGUAAUCACACACUAAAUCUUGUAGGUGUGAUUUAUAGGCCCCCAGGACAAAUAGAAGAGCUAGAUAAUCUACUAGUUGAGGAAAUAGUUAAAAUGACAAUGAAGGGGGAAGUUAUCAUCAUUGGUGACUUUAAUCUUCCUGAUGUGAAUUGGAAAACCAAAAUAGCUGCUUGUGCCAGGAGCACACAUAUUCUAAACUCCCUACUGGGAUUGUCUCUAAAACAAGUCGUUGAGGAGCCAACUCGUAAAGAGGCGAUACUAGAUUUAGUAUUAACAAAUGGAGAUUUGUAUCAGAAAUUACUGUAGGUGAAAGUUUAGGAUCCAGUGAUCAUCAGUCAGUGUGGUUUAAUAUAAGAACAGUGACUGAGUCCCACCACACAAAAACAAUACUUUUAUACUUUAAAAAUCUAUAAGAUUAGACAGAAAGAGGCUAAGCAAGUUAUAAGAGCUUCCAAAUCACACACAGAAGAGAAAAUAGCACAGUCAGUAAAAAAAAGGGACAAAACAUUUUUUAGAUACAUAAAUGAGAAAAGGAAAAUAAAACAAGGAUUAGUUAGAUUAAAAACAAAAAAGGAAGGUAUGUAGAAGAGGAUAAAGGUCUAGCUGACUGCCUCAGUUAAUAUUUUUGUUCAGUAUUUACAGAUGAAAAUGAAGGAAAGGGGCCUCAGUUAGAAAAAAUGACAAAUGUGUCAUUUGUUACACGUGAGUUUACAGAGGAAGAGGUUCUAUUUCAACUGGCAAAAGUAAAGACAAAUAACUCAAUGGGACCUGACGGAAUACAUCCAAAGCUAUUCAAAGAGCUUAGUGAUGUACUAGCAAAACCAUUAACAGAUUUAUUUAACCAAUCAUUGUUAACAGGAGUAGUCUCAGAAGAUUGGAAGUUAGCGAAUGUUGUGCCCAUUCACAAGAAAGGUAGUAGGGAGGAGUCGGGCAACCAUAGGCCAGUAAGCCUUACUUCAGUAGUGGAUAAAGUAAUGGAAACCAUGUUAAAGGAUAGGAUUGUUGAACAUCUAAAAACACAUGGAUUUUAAGAUCAGUGACAACAUGGUUUACUUCAGGGAGAUCAUGCCAAACUAAUCUUAUUGAUUUUUUUUGAUUGGGUAACUAAAAUAAUAGAUCAGGGUGGUGCAGUAGACAUUGCUUACCUAGAUUUCAGUAAGGCUUUUGACACUGUUGUACAUAGCAGGCAUAUCAAUAAACUGCAAUCUUUAAGUUUGGAUUCCAAUAUUGUUGAAUGGGUAAGGCAGUGGCUGAGUGACAGGCAACAGAGGGUUGUAGUCAAUUGAGUAUAUUCGAAGCAUGGGCUUGUCACCAGUGGGGUACCUCAGGGAUCUGUACUUUGACCCAUUCUCUUUAAUAUAUUUAUUCGUGAUAUUGCAGAAGGUCUUGAUGGUAAGGUAUGUCUUUUUGCUCAUGAUACUAAGAUAUGUAACAGGGUUGAUGUUCCAGGAGGGAUAUGCCAAAUGGCAAAUGAUUUAGGUAAACUAGAAAAAUGGUCAGAGUUGUGACAACUGAAAUUUAAUGUGGAUAAGUGCAAGAUAAUGCACCUUGGACGUAAAAACCCAAGGGCAGAGUAUAGACUAUUUGAUAGAGUCCUAACCUCAAAAUCUGAGGAAAGGGAUUUAGGGGUGAUUAUUUCUGAUGACUUAAAUGUAGGCAGACAAUGUAAUAGAGCAGCAGGAAAUGCUAGCAGAAUGAGUAGCAGUAGAAAGAGGGAAGUGCUCAUGCCAUUGUACAGAACACUGGUGAGAUCUCACUUGGAGUAUUGUAAGCAGUACUGGAGACCGUACCUCAAGAGGAUAUUUAUACUUUAGAGAGAGUUCAGAGAAGGGCUACUAAACUGGUUCAUGGAUUGCAGGAUAAAACUUACAAGGAAAGGUUAAAGGAACUUAACAUGUAUAGCUUGGAGGAAAGAUGAGACGGGGGAUAUGAUAGAAACAUUUAAGGUAACACAGUAAAGGAGGAGACUUUAUUUAAAAGAAGAAAAACUACCACAACUACAUAGUCUAAAAUUAGAGGGGCAAAGUUUUAAAAAUAAUAUCAGGAAGUAUUACUUUACUGAGAGGGUAGUGGAUGCAUGGAAUAGCCUUCCAGCUGAAGUGGUAGAGGUUAACACAGUAAAGGAGUAACUAUAAGAUAAGGCCAGGGACUAAUGAAAGUAUUUUUAAGAAUUGGGCAGACUAGAUGGGCCGAAUGGUUCUUAUCUGCCGUCACAUUCUAUGUUUCUAUAUCUCAAAUGAAAACUUGCGGGGGGGGCGUGGCCUACUGCUGAGCUUAAUGGACGCACAUUGAAAUCGCUCCCAGUGAUCCAUGACCUAAUCCACUGCAAUUUGAGAAAAUACCACACCAUGGGCCUCAAAGACAAGGAGAGAAAACUCCUAUUACCAAAACAGGCUCCCUAAACAAAUACUUUAAAGAAAUUGCGGACCGAGAGACGGAGACCGAACUCGCGGCCUACAAAAUGGUCGACACGGAGUUAAUUCAAACCUUGCGGCCUAAAAGCCCAGCUACAUCGGACUGCUCACAUAAUAAUUUAGACACCAGUAUGGACCCAUAUAUCAAAGCAAUCCUGAAAAACUUACCAUCCAAACAUGACCUCCAAACGAUGAUGAGUAAACUUGAGGCGACUUUCCUAUCCAAGAUGGAGGCGAUGGGCUCCGACAUCCAACAGCUCAAUCUCCGGAUGACGGACCUAGAGGAAGAGCGAGAAAUCAUGCAAGCGCAAAUCACCAACUUAACCUCAGUAAUUGACUCCCAUUUACUUCAAUAUGCAGCUACACAACGGCAUAUUGAUGACUUGGAUAACCGCAGCCGUAGAAACAAUCUACGAAUACAAGGUAUGCCAGAAUCCCAGGGAGAAACCUCUCAUUGCUACUCACGGAGCUAUUCAAUCCAAUCCUGGGAACUCCAAACGACACACAAAUCAAGCUUGAUCGAGCACACCGCUCCUUAAGACCCAGAAACUCAACCUCUGAAGCCCCGAGGGACAUAAUAUGCCGAAUCCAUCACUUCCCCAUUAAAGAAAACAUACUCAAAGCACUUAGAGAUACAACCCAACCCCUCCUGUUUCACAAUAUCCCUAUCCAAAUUUACCCAGACUUGUCCUAGUACACACUCCAGGCACGCAGAGCCCUCAAGCCGAUCACCGAUCUCCUAAAACAAAGAAAUAUAAAUACCGCUGGGUCUACCCAUUCGCCCUAAUUGUCUCUAACAAAGGCAACACUUUAACGAUCACUACUCCACUGGAUAUCCUGCCUUUCCUACAAGCUCCAGACCUCCCCGAAACUCACGUUCUGGAUUGGAACAUACCCUCCUCAAACCACAAAACAUUGGGCCCCCCUCAAAGACAGCGCUGGCUCACACCGGCGAAGAAAAGAAGACAAGACCAGCGGUUCCAGUCACCACAUCAGAGACACAGAGGACCUCGGGAUGAAUCAACCGGUCCAUAAUCAGGAUUUAUACUACACUGCAUUAUCAUCAGUCAAUAAACUGCUCAGCUGCCAUAGAAUUAAUUCAUACUCAGAAGGUAACACUUUGCACUUCAGCUAUAACACGUAAUAACCCCUCACAACUACUUUAGACCUCCUCAUUAAUAUCUCCAUCUAUCCUGGAGCAUUAACCAUCCCCUCUCACCGUCCUUCGUCCCUUACCACCUCUUCUCUCUUCCAUCUUUCAUCUAACAUCUCCCAACUCCCCCCCAUCUCAUCAAAAUGAGAUUAACCCUACCACAUCAGAGGAGUCGAACCGAGCCCCCACUAGUGCGCAAAUAACAACAACAACAAAUGCUACAAUUUAUAACCUGGACAUCUGAGCGACAAUCUGCUUGUCUUCCCACCCCCCCCCUCACACACACCGUAUCAGCCCAUGACAGAAGAUAUUACUACAUAUUAAAUUCUCCUAAAGCUACAAUACCAAUAGAGGAUUACCAGAUCCUCGGAUCUCAAACCCGGCCUCAAAACCCCAACUUAAAUAAAGGUUCCAUCUUAGCGUCAAGAUAGAAACCCCUGUACUUCCUCUAUCCCAGGAGGACAUGCUACUAGCAGAAUUCAUAACAUAUCCUGCCAUAAACUAAAUCCUUCUAAAAGUCUCACAACUGGAGACUAACAGGUGGUCCACGACCACCUCGAGACUAAUUUCAAUCAACACCUGCACUACUUAAACACCAGUGCCCAUAUAAUAUUCAACCUCAUUCUCAAAAACAGGCACACCGCUCUAACGCGAAUACGAUAUACUGUUACUAUCUAUUGUUACUUACGGAAAACUAUUACUACUGUUUGUAUAAUUUUAAGCAUUGUAUUGUACGUGUUACAACUGUUUUUUUAUUGUUAAGUUCGAUAUUGUACUGUAACCUAUACGUUUCCAUUUGUUGACUACAAAUACGCAAAUCAUUGUUUAGAUAACACGAAAACCACUCACGAUAAGUGAGCUCUACGCUUGAUAGCCAAACCAGUGACCUCGCUAGAAAACAGAAAACCAAAACCAGUUCAAAGCUUGAAUACCGAGUCACUAAAACCACACCCCAAGUCAUACAGAAAGACACACUCCCUUACAUAAGCAUAAGGUCACUACCCCUUCCCUAUACCUCUAUAACUAAAUCAACCCAGUCAAAUACACAUCCUAACUAUACAACCUACACCUAACUGACAGAGAGUCCUUAGGAAAUUCAACUCCCUUACCAUAGCCCAAAAAAUGACCUCAAUAACCAUACUCACUCAGAAUGCCAGAGGCUUAAAUACCCCAGAAAAAUGCACGAUAGCCUUAACAGAUUUCCACAGAAACAAAGCAGAUAUAGUCUUUAUCCAAGAAACCCAUUUUCGUAAAGACACAGCGCCCAGAUUACAAAAUAAGAAUUACCCUAAAAGUUACUUCGGACACUACUCAAACUCUAAAUCAAGAGGAGUGGCGAUACUGAUUGGCAAUAAAACCCAAUUUACAUACCAAGACCAACAAACAGAUAAAGGGCAAAUUAGGAAACACCCAAGUCACACUGGCCAAUAUAUAUCUCCCCAACAAAAAGCAGAAUGCAGCACUACAGAAAAUAUUGUCUAAACUCUCCAACUUCUACGAGGGUAUGCUGGUGCUGGGAGGAGACAUUAAUGUUUCUCUGGACGGGAAACUAGAUUCCACUGCUAAGCCACAGCCAAACACAGAAUUAAUUAGAAAACAGAUAAACAGCACUCUGCAUGAAGCUCAACUAUAUGACUGCUGGAGGGCUGUACACCCAACACGAAAAGAUUAUUAGUUCUUCUCAUCCACAGCGGGGGCCUAUUCCCGCAUCGACACCAUCUUCUUGCAACACAGGUACUUACCUAUGGUCACAUAAGCAUCAUAUGGCCCAACAUCGUGGUCAGACCACGCACCCAUGUCCCUAAAAAUCACAAUCCCUACCAUACCAAACCCAUCCUCACAAUGGUGUCUCAACGACCUACUCCUCAAUAACACAGAAACCGUCGAUAAACUCAGAGACUCAGCCAAUACCUAUUUCACACUAAACACACAACCAGACACCUCACCAGCUCUGGUUUGGGAAGCACAUAAGGCAGUCCUGAGAGGGGAGCUUAUCCACAUCUUUUCUUCCCAAAAGCGCAAAAGAGAACAACAAAUCAAACAAUUAACUCAAGAACUAAAAACCCUGGAAUGCAAACAACACCAAAAUAAAGACUCAAUGGACACAUAUAAACUGAUACUAACUAAAAGAACAGAACUAACAACAAUACUCCAACUUCACGCAAGAUGCCAACUGACACUGACACUAACAAAACAUUACUACUAUAAAAAAGGGGGAAAAGCAGGAAAACUUCUCGCGCAAGCCCUCCAACAAAACAAUCCACAUUUAUAGCCGAAAUUAAACAGGAAGACGGGGGCGCCACAAACCAAAUGCCAGAUAUUAUAAAAGCUUUCUACAAAUUCUAUACCGACCUAUAGAACCUUACACAAAUCCAACCAUCCGCAGAAGAUAUCCUGGACUUUCUCAAACCUAGGGUCAAAAACACAUUCCCACCUAACGAAACACGAUUCCUAGAUGAAUCAAUCACACCUGAAGAAUUCGAAAACACAGUGAAAUCUCUCCCUAUUGGUAAAAGCCCAGGCCCAGAUGGCUUCACAGGCAAAUACUACAAAACUCUCUCACGAACACUAGCACAACCAUUCACCGAUGCCUUCAAUGCACAAAAACUCACCUCCUCACUACCCAAAUCCGCGUUAGAAGCAACUAUUGCCCUCAUACCCAAACCUGGCAAAGAUCCCUCAACGUGUGGAAGUUAUAGGCCAAUCUCACUCAUCAACAUUGACUUAAAGAUCUUGACCAAAAUAAUGGCAAACAGACUAAAACCAUUUCUCCCAAAUUUAAUCCACCAAGACCAAGCAGGCUUUGUGCCAGGACAGGAAGCUAAACAUAAUACGACAAAAAUAAUAAACGUGAUCCACUGGGCCCAGACACAUAAAACACACAGUCCCUUACUCGCAAUAGAUGCCGAAAAAGCAUUUGACAGGGUGAGCUGGGUCCUACUCACCAAUGUGAUUAGAUUCUGGGAUUUGGGCCGAGAUGGCAGGAAUGCUAUCUAUUCACAACCCAUAGCCAGACUCCGCAUUAACGGACAGCUUUCCCAACCAGUCAUCAUAACCAAUGGAACUAGACAGGGCUGUCUCCUUUCACCCCUCCUGUUUACCCUAAUCCUAGAGCCCUUCCUACAAGGGAUUAGGGAUAACAUGCAUAUUCAUGGCCUAUCAAUCGGGGGAGAAGAAUAUAAGGUCUCAGCCUUCGCAGAUGACCUUCUCUUUACCAUCUCCAACCCUCUCUGCAGCUUACCCAACAUUCUCACAGAAAUGGAAACCUACAGCAAGGUAUCCAACUUCCAAGCAAACCUCACCAAAUGCGAACUUUUGCCUAUAUACACUACCAAAUACCUAGAUACAAAAAUGCGAGAGAAUUUUCAUUUCUCAUGGGCAUCUAAAUCAGUAAAAUACCUAGGCAUUCAAAUUCCAAAUAAACUAUACCACCUAUACGAACAAAAAUUCCCUUCACUCCUAACAAAAAUAACCAAAGAUCUUCAAUCUUGGCAUAAACCCUGCUCCGGGUGGCUCUGCAGAUCCAACAUCGUCAAGAUGAACAUCCUCCCAUGGCUGUUAUACCUCCUACAAACGCUCCCGAUAAUAAUCCCUAACAAAUUUUUCAAUGCAGUCAAAUCCGUUAUCACGAAAUUCAUCUGGUCUUACAAACAACCCAAAAUAGCCUAUAAAACAUUAAUAAAAAACAGAGAGAAAGGUCGAAUAAACCUACCAGACAUUGUCACAUAUCACCAAGCAGUCCACCAUACCAGAAUACACAACCUCGGACACAUGCUGGAGAUGUCAGGAAAAAAUAGGCCAUCACUCACACUUCUAACGCCGCCUAGAUUUCCUGUACUGUUCAAUCACAGACUUCACAAUGCACAGAAUUCUCUAUGAGAAGUCUUUGCAAGGAAGAUGAUCCGAGAAAUUGCUCCAGUGAGCUAGCCAAACCAGGAAGUAAAAUAAACUUUUGUCUACUUGAAAGGGAUGUAACCAAGUUAAUUUAAAAAAAGAAAGUGUCAAUUUCUAUUAAAAUAAAGCUUUUUAAAAAGCUAAAGUGCUUUAAGGGGUCUGGGUGUCCUUUUAACUAACACACAAGCAGUCAUGAGAGCAAUCAUUGUCUCAUUCUAUCCAAUAUGUUUAUUAUUUUGUAUAUGAGCUGUCAUAAAAAGCGGUUUGUGUAUAUGGUUGAUAGAGAAGACUGAAUAAAUGUUUUCCUCAUUCUUUGUUGAGUUGCUUAUUAAAGAUCAAAGCACAUUGAACUUUUUAAAAAAUUCUGCUUGACUUUUUCAAAUUAAUGCUGUGGACCUUGCAAGUUAUAUAUUAUUGCAUUGUAAUGCAAAUUAAUAUGGAAAUGAAUGAAUUGCUAUAAUUAAGUAAAAGGUACACAAACUGUACAUAUACAUUCUGAAGAUAUUUCUAACAUUUGAUUACUUUUUAAAUAACAAAAAUGCAAGUCAAUAAUUCAAAGUGUAUGCGGUAAAAUGUUCUUAUUAGGGUGCAUCUGGAGAGAGAGUGAUGCACUCUAAUCUACACUUUAUACAUAUGAUCUAAAUCUAGUAGAACACCUAAUCAAAGACAUGUUGGAAUUUGUAUACACAUCUACCAUUUAUUUCACUUAAAGAGUAAUGGAAAGCAAGCCAAGCCAUUAAUACAUUCACAAAAAAUUGUAAAUAUUGAGUUACAGUUGAAUGCAAGAAAAAAAAACAAUAGACCAGAUAAAAAUAAUAGAUACACUUGUAUCUUCACAGUAACAGAAUUACAGAUAGUUUAUGCCUUUGACAUCCACUCCUGCAUGCUGGGUGGCUAUUUGAAAACAGUAAAAAAUAGUUUUUUCUAUUGGUAUGUCUUAACCAUUCUAAAUAUUUUAUGUAGUUCGUUUCUGCGUGUAUUAUACAAUGCUUAUGUAUAAUGUUUAUAGAUUUUGCUUUAUCAAUCUAGUGAUGUCACUAGUAGUCAAUCAUACACCAUUACCUUUCUCCUUAUUAAUAAAUGUAUUACCACAGAAAAUUACAGCAGAUCCUCAAUACAAUGUUUAUAUAGAAACUCUGUUUUCAUUACAGCUCUUCGACCAAAAACGUGUAUAACUGUCAAAGAAGAUGGAAAAAGAAGAUACUAAGGCUUUCUGACAACUUAAGCCAUAAUAAAAUAUUUAUUUUUCAGGUCAAUGCAGAAGUAUUUUUCAUUAGUAUUUUGUAAAAAAAAAAAAAAUUUAAAAAAACCAAUAAGUCACUUUAAAACUUCCCCGACUCUUUCUAUGUGCUCUGUCCCUAAAUCCUCAACAUUCUACCUACUGUUAACAUUUUAUUCUGAAAUCCUGCUAUUUACCCACUGGUUAUGAUCUAUUUUUCUAUUCCAAGCUUAUAAUUCAUCAUGUGUACUCUGUUUGUCUUGUUUUUUUCUUUCUAAUUCUCUUUAACCUUUUUGUUGCAUCUUUACAACAAGAGCAUAUUAGCAUUUACAUGUAAUGACAAUGCAUAUAUCACCCAAUGGGUAGCUGUCCUAAGUGCUUUUUUUUUUUUUUUACUACUGAGCUUUUGCUUUUGUAACAAAGGUCUUCCUUACAUGUGUACUUUCUACACAGUCUUUCUUGUUGCAUAUUUUAAAAAAACUUUAAUAAAAUGUGAUAAAAUUAAUAUAUAAUUGGAUGGAUCAUUCGGAUACUCUUGCGGUAGAUGAUUGAUGUGAAUUCAGAAAUGUGCUAGAGAAAUUGUGUGUGUGAAAAAAUGGUUCUUUUUUCUGAAAAAGGGAGUUGUCGUGCAUUGGCAACUGGUUUGUUAAGGUAAACUUAACGAUCCAAC